rnacentral:rRNA from 1 species
UACGGGGGGGGCGAGCGUUGUUCGGAAUUACUGGGCGUAAAGGGCGCGUAGGCGGUUCUCCAAGUCCGUUGUGAAAGCCCCGGGCUCAACCUGGGAAUGGCAGUGGAAACUAGGGGACUGGAAUCUGGCAGAGGGGGGUGGAAUGCCGCGUGUAGCAGUGAAAUGCGUAGAGAUGCGGCGGAACACCGAUGGCGAAGGCAGCCCCCUGGGCUGAGAUUGACGCUCAGGCACGAAAGCGUGGGGAGCAAACAGG